GUGAAGAAGUCGUGUUCAUCAACAUCAGAUGCUGUGUGUGAGGUCCUGGAUGGAUUCUUCUGUAGUGACUCUAACAGAGGUGGAUGUAGGGCCGCUCAGAGACACACGGUUUGCAGUCCUGGUCAAUACAUCGGUCAAAGAGGAACAGCAGAUAAAGAUACAGAGUGCCUUCACUGUACUGAUGGAACAUUCUCAAAUGGCACAUCGUCUUGUCAGAACCACACAAAAUGUGAAUCUGUGGGACUGAAACUGAUGAGACCAGGAACUGAUUCAACUGAUUCAGAAUGUGGAGAACCUGGUCCACAUGCAGGACUAGUGGCAGGACUAGUAAUAUCAGGAGUCAUACUGGUAAUAGCUAUUAU